rnacentral:tRNA from 1 species
GAGGGUAUAGCUCAGUGGUAGAGCAUCUGCCCAGCAAGCACAGGGUCCUGGGUUCAAUGCCCAGUACCCCCA